CCUACGGGCGGCAGCAGUAGGGAAUUUUCGGCAAUGGGGGGAACCCUGACCGAGCAACGCCGCGUGAACGAAGAAGUUUUUCGUAAUGUAAAGUUCUUUUAACAGGGAAGAAAGAGAACUUUGACGGUACCUGAAGAAUAAGCUACGGCAAACUCGGUGCCAGCAGCAGCGGUAAUACGUAGGGGGCGAGCGUUAUCGGGAAUUAUUGGGCGUAAAGGGGGCGUGGAGGGCAUAGUAGUUUUUUUGGAAAAAUGUUGGGCUCAACCCAGUAGGGCAAAAGAUACUGCAAAGCUAGAGUAUGACAGAGGCAGGUGGAACUACAUGUGUAGCGGUAAAAUGCGUAAAUAUAUGUAAGAACACCAGUGGCGAAGGCGGCUUGCUGGGUCGAUACUGACAUUGAGGCACGAAAGCGUGGGGAGCAAACAGGAUUAGAUACCCCUGUAGUC
rnacentral:rRNA from 1 species